AGGAGAAUUCUCACCAAGCACAGAGGAACCCAGAUCAGAACAGGAGACUUUUCACUCUGCAGAGGAGCGCUGUCAGCAUGACACGUGUUAGCUUGCUGUGGACAGUCGUGGUCUCCACCUGUCUUGAAUCCAGCAUGGCCCAGACAGUCACUCAGUCUCAACCAGAGAUGUCUGUGCAGGAGGCAGAAACCGUGACCCUGAACUGCACAUAUGACACCAGUGAAAGUAAUUAUUAUUUGUUCUGGUACAAGCAGCCUCCCAGGAGGCAGAUGAUUCUCAUUAUUCGCCAAGAAGCUUUUAAGCCACAGAAUGCAACGGAGAAUCGUUUCUCUGUGAACUUCCAGAAAGCAGCCAAAUUCUUCAGUCUCAAGAUCUCAGACGUACAGCUGGGGGACACUGCCAUGUAUUUCUGUGCUUACAGGAGCACACAGUGAGACAAGCAACAGGGAGAGGCUUACA